rnacentral:lncRNA from 1 species
UGAGGGGGAUGUACUGUGGCUGACACCCGCGUUAUCUCAUCGCAUCCAUUUCACCGCUUUCUCGAGCGUGUGGGGGGUUUAAUUGGCUGGGGACAAGGAGCGUGUCAGCACGGGUUCAUACAGUGUACAGCGGCUAUGGCUGCUGCCUGGCAGGCUAUUUGCUACUGCUACAGAGGUCUUUGCUUUCUCUUUUAGGCACCUCAAUAAUGGCCAUUUGGCGUAGGCCAUGGUUUUGACCCUGAUUACCCUCAUUAGCAACACUGGCAUGGUCUACUGUCAGGCAUGCCUCCGAUAUGUUUGGAGCUUUCAAUUUGAUACUGUGCUAAG